rnacentral:rRNA from 1 species
GAUAAACGCUGGCGGCGUGCCUAACACAUGCAAGUCGAACGAUCCCGCAAGGGAGAGUGGCGGAAGGGUGAGUAACACGUGGGAAUCUACCUCCUCGCAGGGAACAACCUCUCGAAAGAGAGGCUAAUACCCAAAAGGGUCAGAAAUGAUCAGAGUCGAAAGGCGUGAGGAGAGGAGCCCGCGGCCCAUCAGCUAGUUGGUGAGGUAAUGGCUUACCAAGGCUACGACGGGUAGGGGAUCUGAGAGGAUGUCCCCCACACUGGAACUGAAACACGGUCCAGACGCCUACGGGUGGCAGCAGUGAGGAAUAUUGGACAAUGGGCGAAAGCCCGAUCCAGCAACGCCGCGUGGAGGAUGAAGGCCUUCGGGUCGUAAACUUCUUCAGAGGGAGACGAGAAAGGACGGUAUCCCUAGAAUAAGCGACGGCAAACUACGUGCCAGCAGCCGCGGUAAU